rnacentral:misc_RNA from 1 species
GAAGAACUUCUGUAUCAACUCCAGAAAAUCCUGCAAGUUCUCUUCGGGCUUUUUACCUCCAGUCUUUUUCUUUUUCCGCUUAUCACACUUGGUGAAAACUAUUGUCAUUGGGAUCUUAUUCUCUGCUAACCAACUUGCAUAAUCAAGAUCAAUCUUUUUUGCAGGAAUGCUAGCAUCUAUGAGGAGGAAGACUGAGACGAGGGUUGGCCGGUUUAUGAAAUAAUCUUUGGUGAACUUAGCCCAAUCUGUUCGUACUUCAUGUGGUGCAGCUGCAUACCCGUAACCUGGUAAAUCCACAAGAUGCCAGCUAUCGUUUAUCCGGAAAUGGUUGAUGCAUUGUGUCUUUCCUGGUUUCUUGGAAGUAAGAGCAAGCUUUUUACGCCUCACAAGCGAGUUGAGCAAAGAAGACUUGCCCACAUUAGACCUCCCAACAAGAGCAAACUCAGGCAAUCCAUCAGAAGGACAGGCCUCAGUAUCCACACUACUCUUCACAAACUCAGCUUGCUCCACUUGAGAAUUCCCAGCAUACUUACUAAGCACAAUAUUUGACCCUUUCAAGAUCCUACUACUCAAAGGCCUUGAACCAGAAGAAACAUCAGUAUCAGGUGGAAAAAACAGCUUUUCAACUGAAAUUUCUACAUGGGGUUUCUCUAAAACAUCUUCAAUUUCCAAAUUCUUGGCUUGCAACAACUCUGGUGUUUGAAGAAGUGUGUUGGCGGCUGCUGUGGCAGAUGAAAAAUGGGAAACUGGGGUUGUUUUGGAUUUGGAUAGAAGUGCUGAGGUGAUGAUAAUCCUGGGUGUCGAGUAGAAAAUGAAGAAAUGGGAAUGGAGCUUUGGAAGAUGAGUGAUAAACAUCUUGUUUUUUGGGUCUUUUACUG